rnacentral:lncRNA from 1 species
AGUACCCUCUAGACUGAGCAGUGAGGCCAUGGUGGAACCCUGCCUCCACUCAAGAGAGACAGCUUGAGGGCCUGUCUAUCACAAGUCACGGUCUGGAUGCUGUCACUCCAGGAUCAGCAAACAUUUUAUGGAUUUGUUUCUUGUUCAUCAUUUAAUGAACUGCAAACAGUUCUGCAAACUGUCAUCAAACAAAAUAACACAUAUGAGAGAGUAAUGAAACAAAUAAAACAGCGCAUGCUAUGAAAUGGACAAAAUAACAAAAAGGUAACCUUG